rnacentral:ribozyme from 14 species
AACAAUGAACAACAGCAAACCAAUACAUAAAAGAAGAAUCUUUCAUAAAACUUUUGUUCCCUCACAUACAAUUUAUCUUGUUUCUCUGUGUUUAUCUCUAUUGUUUUCUCAUUUUAUGUUACUAUUUUAGAGUGAGGAUGGGAGGAGGAAG